GAUGAACGCUAGCGGCAGGCUUAACACAUGCAAGUCGAGGGGCAUCGGGAGGGAAGCUUGCUUUCCUUGCCGGCGACCGGCGCACGGGUGAGUAACACGUAUGCAACCUGCCCUCUUCAGGGGGACAACCUUCCGAAAGGGAGGCUAAUCCCGCGUAUAUCGGUUUCGGGCAUCCGUUAUCGAGGAAAGAUUCAUCGGAAGAGGAUGGGCAUGCGGCGCAUUAGCUUGACGGCGGGGUAACGGCCCACCGUGGCGACGAUGCGUAGGGGUUCUGAGAGGAAGGUCCCCCACACUGGAACUGAGACACGGUCCAG
rnacentral:rRNA from 1 species